rnacentral:rRNA from 1 species
AGAGUUUGAUCCUGGCUCAGAUUGAACGCUGGCGGCAUGCUUUACACAUGCAAGUCGAACGGUAACGCGGGGGCAACCCUGGCGACGAGUGGCGAACGGGUGAGUAAUACAUCGGAACAUGUCCUGGAGUGGGGGAUAGCUCGGCGAAAGCCGGAUUAAUACCGCAUACGCUCUGAGGAGGAAAGCGGGGGACUCGCAAGGGCCUCGCGCUGCAGGAGUGGCCGAUGUCGGAUUAGCUAGUUGGUGAGGUAAAGGCUCACCAAGGCGACGAUCCGUAGCUGGUCUGAGAGGAUGAUCAGCCACACUGGGACUGAGACACGGCCCAGACUCCUACGGGAGGCAGCAGUGGGGAAUUGUUCGCAAUGGGCGCAAGCCUGACGACGCAACGCCGCGUGGAGGAUGAAGAUUUUCGGAUCGUAAACUCCUGUCGAAUGGGACGAAAAGGUCGCGGUCUAAUAUCCCGUGAUCCUGACGGUACCGUUAAAGGAAACCCCGGCUAACUCCGUGCCAGCAGCCGCGGUAAUACGGGGGGGGUAAGCGUUGUUCGGAAUUACUGGGCGUAAAGGGCUCGUAGGCGGCCAACUAAGUCAGACGUGAAAUCCCUCANCUUAACUGGGGAACUGCGUCUGAUACUGGAUGGCUUGGAUUCGGGAGAGGAAUGCGGAAUUCCAGGUGUAGCGGUGAAAUGCGUANAUAUCUGGAGGAACC